rnacentral:rRNA from 1 species
AUCGUAACAAGGUCUCCGUUGGUGAACCAGCGGAGGGAUCAUUAAAAGGGGUUAUUAACAAGCCCAAAAUCGCACCUGUGCACUGUACCGAAGACCUUAAAGACUCGGUGGCGGCGGCGCAGCCCGCUGGAGGGGCCUCGGGCCGUCAGGCCGGCCCGCCGCAGCACCGAGCGCGCUGAAGCCGUCGCGCCCCGCGAGACGCCGAAAGCGAAGCCCCCGCCUGCUGGCGGCCGGGCGGAUGCCAAUUACAACCCAUAGCAAUGGAUCUCUUGGCUCCGGCAUCGAUGAAGAACGCAGCGAAAUGCGAUACGUACUACGAAUUGCAGCUCCCGCGAGUCAUCGAAUCUUUGAACGCAUAUUGCGCCGCGCGGCAUUCCGCGCGGCACGUCCGACCGAGCGCCGCUGCAACGCUCGCGGGCCUCCUCCCGGAGGGCCGGCGGUGCUGGGCGCGCCGGAGCGAUCCGGCGCCCCCGAAACACAGCGGCGGCCUCAUCGGCGAGCCCGGCGAAGUAGAACCAGCGCCUGGGGGACCCGAGACGGCCCGCUUAGACCCUGCCAUCACAGAACUUGUUGGCCUCGGGUCGGACGAGGUUACCCGCUGAACUUAAGCAUAUCAU